rnacentral:rRNA from 1 species
ACGCACGCUGGCGGCAUGCCUCACCCAUGCAAGUCGAACGAGACCUUCGGGUCUAGUGGCGCACGGGUGCGUAACGCGUGGGAACCUGCCCUUAGGUUCGGAAUAACUCCCCGAAAGGGGUGCUAAUACCGGAUAAUGUCUUCGGACCAAAGAUUUAUCGCCUUUGGAUGGGCCCGCGUUGGAUUAGCUAGUUGGUAGGGUAAAAGCCUACCAAGGCGACGAUCCAUAGCUGGUCUGAGAGGAUGAUCAGCCACACUGGGACUGAGACACGGCCCAGACUCCUACGGGAGGGAGCAGUGGGGAAUAUUGGGCAAUGGGCGAAAGCCUGAUCCAGCAAUGCCGCGUGAGUGAUGAAGGCCUUAGGGUUGUAAAGCUCUUUUACCCGGGAUGAUAAUGACAGUACCGGGAGAAUAAGCGCCGGCUAACUCCGUG